rnacentral:rRNA from 1 species
UACAGGGGGGGCAAGCGUUGUUCGGAAUUACUGGGCGUAAAGGGCUCGUAGGCGGCCAACUAAGUCCGACGUGAAAUCCCAAAGCUUAACUUUGGAACUGCGUCGGAUACUGGAUGGCUUGAAUUCGGGAGAGGGAUGCAGAAUUCCAGGUGUAGCGGUGAAAUGCGUAGAUAUCAGGAGGAAUACCGAUGGCGAAGGCAGGUCUCUGGGCUGACACUGACGCUCAUGCACGAAAGCGUGGGGAGCAAACAGG